GAGAUGAGUGAUGGGUGUUGUCAUGUGGCGACAAACAUUACUGUGUGGACAAUUUUAGCUGUUUGGCUUCGGAAAGUAGUGCUCAGGAUUGUUUGCUUACAAAAGAUCUAGCCUGUGACCAAAUAACUCCAGCUUGCUAUGGGAGACUGGGAGAUGAUGCCACUGAAUCCUGUGAAGGCAAGAUACAAGUUGGCACCUUAUCUGCUGGCAAGGCAAGGAAGAUAGGAACAAAGGAGUUUCUGCUGAGAUCCCAGAGCCAGAAGCUGUCACUACAAGGAGAGCUGACUCAACCACUUUGGAUUUGAGUUGUCACUCCAAAAAAGAACUGACUCAACAAUUUUGGACUUAUUUAUAAGUUUGUACUACCACUGAAAGGUGGCCAUCAUUGCCAUGGUCACCAUCAUCAUCAACAGAACAACAAUGCCUGACGACCCACCACUACUGAAGAUCAAUGACUGAACUAUGAACCAUGCUGGAUCCAUGGUGUGCAGUCUUUCCAGAAUGUCUUCUGAAAUAGUACAUCUGACUCUUACAGGUGGUUUGAUGCAGUUAUCAACACGCUCUUGAACACUGAAAUCUAUUUUGUAACUACUGUUGAAAUACUAUUUAACCACACCCAGAAAAAAAAGGUGACCUCUGGAAAAUGUGCCUUGGGAAAUGAAGGUCUUAAACUGACUUUCAUGGUAAAAAUGGAGAUCAGAAGUUCCCAAGCAUUUCCAGGAUACCAGUGCAUAUGUUUUUAUUGUGACUGGUAUACAUGAUGAAAAGAACACUCUUUACCCAUCACCUUUGAUGUGAGCUUUAACAAGGAGGGUGACUUCCAAGUCUGUGUAUGGAUUCUACUUCAAGUACUCAGAACAGAGCCUGAAAUUUGUCCCUCCCUCUGGCCCACGUUCUAUGGAAUAUCUUUUUCAAUGUCUUGUUCACUGUCUUUAGGGGUUGCUUUCCAAUUGCAGUCUUUGAUUUUUGUAUUUUUGACACUCUUAUUUUAUUAAUUUAAUUUUGGAGGUCUAGAUUUUGUCAAGAGGAACAAGAUAGUAAAAUUAGAUGAUUCAGCGCCGUGCUAUUUAAAUUCAUCUUAGGUGUGGAUUUAAGAUCUGUCUCAAAUAUUAAGGGUUUCCAUAAAAAUGAAUUCUUCGGGAAUAUUCAGAACUGGGGGGAAAAAAAAGAAAAAAACAAAGGAAAUGUAUAUGCAGCCCAGAUUUCUCUACCUCACUCAGCAACAGAAAUCAGAGCAAACUAUUACAGUGUAAGCAAAGUAUUUAGUUCAAAAUGGACCUAGAAAUUUGAAGUUAAGUAAAAGCGAAUUGCAUAUUUCAGGCUUCUGUACUUUAAGAGAUUAGUUACAGGUGUUUUCAUGUAAUUACUUCAUUCCUCUUUAAUAUUUUAUGAUGUAAGUGACCUUGAGAAAUACAUCUUUUUUUUAAUGUAACAAUAGUACAUAUUUUAAAGAUGCUGCAAAAAUUUUAUUUCCCAUCUGUUUAUUUCUAUACUUUUGGACUGAGAAGCAAAGCUGCUGAGCAUGAUGAAUACUCACACAGACCAGAAAUGCAGUGACCAGGACUGUCCACAGUACUCAAGAUAUGUGUGGAGGAGCCUACUUAGCAUCCCUUGAUGCCUGCUGAAAAGGAUAAUUGUGGAAAAUGCAGCUUUAUUAUGAAGCUUUUAAUACAGGCCAUUCUGAGGAUGUAGACGUGUGGUUUGGGUUUCAGAGAUGACUGUCCACAGAGCUCCCCUCUACCUUUUCUCAGACCGUGAUGUUGCACAGUCAGGUAGCAGAUAAGCAGAAGAAGCAGCAGCAAAGAGCUCCUUCAGCAACUCACAUGUAAAAAAGCUGCCAUAAAAAUGGGGCUAUCAAGCUUACCAGUAUUUUAUUUAGGACAUCUGUAUGGGAACUGCUGAGUCA